rnacentral:rRNA from 1 species
UACGGAGGGAGCUAGCGUUGUUCGGAAUUACUGGGCGUAAAGCGCGCGUAGGCGGCUUUGUAAGUUAGAGGUGAAAGCCUGGAGCUCAACUUCAGAAUUGCCUUUAAGACUGCAUCGCUUGAAUCCGGGAGAGGUGAGUGGAGUUCCGAGUGUAGAGGUGAAAUUCGUAGAUAUUCGGAAGAACACCAGUGGCGAAGGCGGCUCACUGGACCGGCAUUGACGCUGAGGUGCGAAAGCGUGGGGAGCAAACAGG